UACAGGGGGGGGCAAGCGUUGUUCGGAAUUACUGGGCGUAAAGGGCCAGUAGGCGGCCAACUAAGUCCGACGUGAAAUCCCCAGGCUUAACCUGGGAACUGCGUCGGAUACUGGAUGGCUUGAAUUCGGGAGAGGGAUGCAGAAUUCCAGGUGUAGCGGUGAAAUGCGUAGAUAUCUGGAGGAACACCGGUGGCGAAGGCGGAUCUCUGGGCCUUACCUGACGCUCAGGCGCGAAAGCUAGGGGAGCGAACAGG
rnacentral:rRNA from 1 species